rnacentral:rRNA from 1 species
GAUAAACGCUGGCGGCGCACAUAAGACAUGCAAGUUGAACGGACUUAAUCGAAAUAUUUAUAUUUUGAAGCGGUUAGUGGCGGACUGGUGAGUAACGCGUAAGGAACCUGCCUAUUAGAGGGGAAUAACAGUGAGAAAUCAUUGCUAAUACCGCAUAUGCCAUAGAUAUCACAUGAUAACAGUGGGAAAGGAGCAAUCCGCUAAUAGAUGGCCUUGCGUCUGAUUAGAUAGUUGGUGGGGUAACGGCCUACCAAGUCGACGAUCAGUAGCCGGACUGAGAGGUUGAACGGCCACAUUGGGACUGAGAGACGGCCCAGACUCCUACGGGAGGCAGCAGUCGGGAAUAUUGCGCAAUGGAGGAAACUCUGACGCAGUGACGCCGCGUAUAGGAAGAAGGUUUUCGGAUUGUAAACUAUUGUCGUUAGGGAAGAGAAAGGACAGUACCUAAGGAGGAAGCUCCGGCUAACUACGUG